rnacentral:rRNA from 1 species
GACGAACGCUGGCGGCGUGCUUAACACAUGCAAGUCGAACGGAAAGGCCAGUGCUUGCACUGGUACUCGAGUGGCGAACGGGUGAGUAACACGUGGGUGAUCUGCCUUGCACUCUGGGAUAAGCUUGGGAAACUGGGUCUAAUACCGGAUAUGAACUGCCUUUAGUGUGGUGGUUGGAAAGUUUUUUCGGUGCAAGAUGAGCUCGCGGCCUAUCAGCUCGUUGGUGGGGUAAUGGCCUACCAAGGCGUCGACGGGUAGCCGGCCUGAGAGGGUGUACGGCCACAUUGGGACUGAGAUACGGCCCAGACUCCUACGGGAGGCAGCAGUGGGGAAUAUUGCACAAUGGGCGGAAGCCUGAUGCAGCGACGCCGCGUGGGGGAUGACGGCCUUCGGGUUGAAAACUCCUUUCGACAGGGACGAAGCGUAAGUGACGGUACCUGUAUAAGAAGCACCGGCUAACUACGUG